GACGAACGCUGGCGGCAUGCCUAACACAUGCAAGUCGAGCGAGUAGAUCCCUUCGGGGUGAAGCUAGCGGCGGACGGGUGAGUAUCACGUGGGCAACCUGCCUCAUAGAGGGGAAUAGCCUUCCGAAAGGAAGAUUAAUACCGCAUAAGAUUGUAGUACCGCAUGGUAUAGCAAUUAAAGGAGUAAUCCGCUAUGAGAUGGGCCCGCGGCGCAUUAGCUAGUUGGUGAGGUGACGGCUCACCAAGGCGACGAUGCGUAGCCGACCUGAGAGGGUGAUCGGCCACAUUGGGACUGAGACACGGCCCAGACUCCUACGGGAGGCAGCAGUGGGGAAUAUUGCACAAUGGGGGAAACCCUGAUGCAGCAAUGCCGCGUGAGUGAUGACGGCCUUCGGGUUGUAAAGCUCUGUCUUCGGGGACGAUAAUGACGGUACCCGAGGAGGAAGCCACGGCUAACUACGUGCCAGCAGCCGCGGUAA
rnacentral:rRNA from 1 species